UACGGGGGGGGCAAGCGUUGUUCGGAAUUACUGGGCGUAAAGGGCGCGUAGGCGGUUUGCUAAGUUGGAUGUGAAAACUCUGGGCUUAACCCAGAGCCUGCAUCCAAAACUAGCAGGCUAGAGUUCUGGAGGGGAUAGCGGAAUUCCUGGUGUAGCGGUGAAAUGCGUAGAUAUCAGGAGGAACACCAGUGGCGAAGGCGACUUCCUGGCCUGUUCUUGACGCUGAGGCGCGAAAGCUAGGGUAGCAAACGGG
rnacentral:rRNA from 1 species